rnacentral:rRNA from 1 species
UUAAGUCUUUAUUUUUGUAUUGUAAUAGACUACGUUUUAAUAAGCUAUAUGUAAAUAUAGUGCUUAGGCGGAGCUUAUUAACACACAAAUUAAAGAUUAAAUUAGUAUUGAAUGAAACUUUGUUUAUAUAUCGAUAAUGACGAUAUAUAUAUUAUGUCUUGACCAAUUACGUGCCAGCAGUCGCGGUAAUACGUAAGAGACUAGUGUUAUUCAUCUUAAUUAGGUUUAAAGGGUACUCAAACGGUCUGUUUUGCACAAAAGACUAGAGUUAUAUAGAAGAAGGUAGUACCUUAAGUGUAGAGAUAAAAUUUUGUUAUACUGGAGGGACUUAGAAAAGGCGUAGGCAACCUUCUAAGUAAUAACUGACGUUGAAGGACGAAGGCAUAGGUCACGAACAGGACUAGUAACCCAAGUAGUCUUUGCAGUCAACGAUGAAUGCCAUAGGUUAGAUAAAAAUUUAGUCUAUAAAUGAAAAUGUAAGCAUUUCACCUCAAGAGUAAUGUGGCAACGCAGGAACUGAAAU